UGCAGGGUCCUUCCGGCUGCCAGCUUCAGAAGCAGGCGCCAGUGGUUUUGUGUACGGUGCUGUGACAGCUGCUGCCGGGAGCUUUGCAGAGAGCAUGGGCGAGCUGGAAAACCAUGGCAUGUAUCAUACUUUGUACAUAUGUAUGGGAUAUUUUAGAAUGGAGUGACCUAUAAUGAUGUGCAUAUCGACUUCACUUGGAAGAGUGGACUUUGCUGGAUCUUUCCCAGAAGAAUCUCUACAAAGAUGUGAUGCUGGAGACCUAUUGGAACCUUCUUACUAUAGGAUACAGUUGGGAAGACCAUAAUAUUGAAGAACAUUGUCAAAGUUCUAGAAGAUAUGAAAGGCAUGAAAGAAGUCAAGCUGGAGAGAAACCUUCAAUAUAUACUCAAUGUAUUAAGGCUUUUGA